AAAAUUGAAAAAUUCAGUCCAAAAAUAGCCGUUGGUAGCGCAGCUUUUAAAAAAAAUUUUUUCGUCUUUCGAACGGCGUUUUCCUAUUACUUUCCUUAUUAAAUUUCAGAACGACACUUGCCAGCGCUCGCCGGAAGUGCGAAUUCCGUGUGACACAAAAGAAUCAGCAAUUUGACGGGAGAUUUAUAUCUGUAUUUACUUCAUGUGUGGUUAAAUCUUCCGUAUGAUGACGUUGGACUUAUGUUUGAUUAUACGCGUGAUGGCACAGCGCGCGUUCAAACUUUCCCGCGAGGAAUCGCUUCCGGUGGCGGCACUUCUUGUUCAAUAGUUUUGGAAAGUUUGAACGCGCGCGUGCUGUGCCAUCACGCGUAUAAUCCAAAUAUAAGUCCAACGUCAUCAUACGGAAGAUUCAACCACAGAGUAAAUACAUAUACAGAGUUGUAACUAGUGUACCCACUUUUUUUGUGCGCAUGCUCGGCAAGUUACUAGAUGCAUGCAUGUGAUUGGAUGACGACUCGCUUCAGCUGCUCGUGGAACUUGCCGAGCACGCGC